UUCCACAGUAGGUUCGGCGACGACAGC
rnacentral:sRNA from 1 species